GCUGGGCUUGGUGGCGCACGCCUGUAAUCCCAGCUACUCUGGAGGCUGAGGUAGGAGAAUCGCUUGAACCCAGGAGGCAGAGGUUGCAGUGAGCCGAGAUUGUGCCACUGGACUCCAGCCUGGGUGACAGAGUAAGACUCUGUCUCAA
rnacentral:sRNA from 1 species